CAGCCGCCGCGGGAAUACGGAGGGUGCAAGCGUUAAUCGGAAUUACUGGGCGUAAAGCGCACGCAGGCGGUCUGUCAAGUCAGAUGUGAAAUCCCCGGGCUUAACCUGGGAACUGCAUUUGAAACUGGCAGGCUAGAGUCUUGUAGAGGGGGGUAGAAUUCCAGGUGUAGCGGUGAAAUGCGUAGAGAUCUGGAGGAAUACCGGUGGCGAAGGCGGCCCCCUGGACAAAGACUGACGCUCAGGUGCGAAAGCGUGGGGAGCAAACAGGAUUAGAUACCCCUGUAGUCCCUGUCUCUUAUAA
rnacentral:rRNA from 1 species